rnacentral:rRNA from 1 species
GAUGAACGCUGGCGGCGUGCCUAAUACAUGCAAGUCGAGCGAACAGACGAGGAGCUUGCUCCUCUGACGUUAGCGGCGGACGGGUGAGUAACACGUGGAUAACCUACCUAUAAGACUGGGAUAACUUCGGGAAACCGGAGCUAAUACCGGAUAAUAUAUUGAACCGCAUGGUUCAAUAGUGAAAGACGGUUUUGCUGUCACUUAUAGAUGGAUCCGCGCCGCAUUAGCUAGUUGGUAAGGUAACGGCUUACCAAGGCAACGAUGCGUAGCCGACCUGAGAGGGUGGUCGGCCACACUGGAACUGAGACACGGUCCAGACUCCUGCGGGAAGCAGCAGUAGGGAAUCUUCCGCAAUGGGCGAAAGCGUGACGGAGCAACGCCGCGUGAGUGAUGAAGGUCUUCGGAUCGUAAAACUCUGUUAUUAGGGAAGAACAAAUGUGUAAGUAACUAUGCACGUCUUGACGGUACCGAAUCAGAAAGCCACGGCUAACUACGUG